UUCAGAAAUUUGAGAAGAGAGAAAAGACAUACUUACCGUAGCCAUGCUUGUAAGGUCUUGGCAGUGCGUUCAAUUUCUGGAUCGUAAAGAAGAGCUUCUUUACGAUCAGCCCUGGUCAUAAAAGGAAAAUACGUUAGUUAGAUCAAAUCCCCGGCAGCGGCGCCAAUUUUUGAUAAGCGGUUGUCGAAGCCAUAAAAAAUAAACCUAUUAUCAACCAACAAAAUAAAUUGCGGAUAGUGGCAAUAGGGUCGAACCACAGGGAAUUGACACUACGGAUUUUCCUAAUAAUGACUUGGUCAAGUAAAUAACAAGUAAAUAAAAGAGGGGGG
rnacentral:lncRNA from 1 species